CCAAACCCAAUGUGAACGUUACCAAACUGUUGCCUCGGCGGGAUCUCUGCCCCGGGUGCGUCGCAGCCCCGGACCAAGGCGCCCGCCGGAGGACCAACCUAAAACUCUUAUUGUAUACCCCCUCGCGGGUUUUUUUAUAAUCUGAGCCUUCUCGGCGCCUCUCGUAGGCGUUUCGAAAAUGAAUCAAAACUUUCAACAACGGAUCUCUUGGUUCUGGCAUCGAUGAAGAACGCAGCGAAAUGCGAUAAGUAAUGUGAAUUGCAGAAUUCAGUGAAUCAUCGAAUCUUUGAACGCACAUUGCGCCCGCCAGUAUUCUGGCGGGCAUGCCUGUCCGAGCGUCAUUUCAACCCUCGAACCCCUCCGGGGGGUCGGCGUUGGGGAUCGGCCCUCCCUUAGCGGGUGGCCGUCUCCGAAAUACAGUGGCGGUCUCGCCGCAGCCUCUCCUGCGCAGUAGUUUGCACACUCGCAUCGGGAGCGCGGCGCGUCCACAGCCGUUAAACACCC
rnacentral:rRNA from 1 species